GCUAAUACCGGAUAAUAUUUUGAACCGCAUGGUUCAAAAGUGAAAGACGGUCUUGCUGUCACUUAUAGAUGGAUCCGCGCUGCAUUAGCUAGUUGGUAAGGUAACGGCUUACCAAGGCAACGAUGCAUAGCCGACCUGAGAGGGUGAUCGGCCACACUGGAACUGAGACACGGUCCAGACUCCUACGGGAGGCAGCAGUAGGGAAUCUUCCGCAAUGGGCGAAAGCCUGACGGAGCAACGCCGCGUGAGUGAUGAAGGUCUUCGGAUCGUAAAACUCUGUUAUUAGGGAAGAACAUAUGUGUAAGUAACUGUGCACAUCUUGACGGUACCUAAUCAGAAAGCCACGGCUAACUACGUGCCAGCAGCCGCGGUAAUACGUAGGUGGCAAGCGUUAUCCGGAAUUAUUGGGCGUAAAGCGCGCGUAGGCGGUUUUUU
rnacentral:rRNA from 1 species